AACCCAUGGUGAGGGCACCUUUUCAGUAAGUCCUUGCAUCUAUCCUAUGCAUCGUAAAGUGUUUCUAAAUCCAUCUGCACAAAAGAAGAGAUAUCAUUACAUAAUUU
rnacentral:snoRNA from 1 species